GGGGCUAUAGCUCAGUUGGGAGAGCGCUUCGCUGGCAGUGAAGAGGUCGUCGGUUCGAUCCCGUCUAGCUCCACCA
rnacentral:tRNA from 4 species